rnacentral:rRNA from 1 species
UACGAAGGGGGCUAGCGUUGUUCGGAUUUACUGGGCGUAAAGCGCACGUAGGCGGAUCGUUAAGUCGGGGGUGAAAUCCUGGAGCUCAACUCCAGAACUGCCUUCGAUACUGGCGAUCUUGAGUCCGGAAGAGGUGAGUGGAACUCCUAGUGUAGAGGUGGAAUUCGUAGAUAUUAGGAAGAACACCAGUGGUGAAGGCGGCUCACUGGUCCGGUACUGACGCUGAGGUGCGAAAGCGUGGGGAGCAAACAGG